rnacentral:lncRNA from 1 species
ACAAUUCUCAUCAAUCAAAUAUUACACACUUCUUGAGUGAAUUGAAGAGUUAUACAAGACAAGAUGUUCACAUAUCCAAAUAGACCCAUAUGCCAGUUUAGAUGCAUGAGGGCUUAUGUGGAUGCAGAACAUAUUGUUCAGAGUAUCACAUCAACAAGUUUGCAAUAUUUGAUAGUUGAGGAGUGUAAUCAAAUGUCUAAAAUAGCGUAUAAUAUUGGGCAUCCAUUUCAUUUUCUCAUAAUAAGAAUUACGAUCUCACAUAUAAAAUAUGCUAUCUUACCAUAUCAUAAAUGCCAAAACCUUUGAAUAAACAAAAAUUAAACUCCUAUAAUUUUAAAUCACAAAAGAAAGGAUACUCUUAUUGUGG